CAAACACUGCUGUUGCUGGGACCUGGGCACUUUCUGAAGUUAUUCUUCUGUUUGGAGACAUUUGACAUUUGAGUCCCGCAAGUGAACUAAUGCAAGCCAAAGCAUAAAAGGCGGCAUUGCAAAUGGCCUUGGCUUUGCAUGAGUGUCAUCUUCCCUCCAUUUGGUGUGCGAUGUGGAGUUCUCUCUUCACUUCACUAUCUCCCCCUCAGACGCACUUAGUUGGAGGCGUGGCUUGGUGGCUUGGUGGCAGGUGAUCAUGUGGCUCUCCAGAGCGCAGGCAGUGUGGUAUCUUCAAACCCAUCUCAUUUUAAUUAGUAUAAUAAAUAUUUUUAACAUGGAAACUGUAAUAAAGAUCAUUUUUGUAA